UCCACGCCGUAAACGAUGUCAACUAGCCGUUUGUGGACUUGAUCCGUGAGUGGCGCAGCUAACGCACUAAGUUGACCGCCUGGGGAGUACGGCCGCAAGGUUAAAAACUCAAAUGAAUUGACGGGGGCCCGCACAAGCGGUGGAGCAUGUGGUUUAAUUCGAUGCAACGCGAAGAACCUUACCAUCCCUUGACAUCCAGAGAAGAGACUAGAGAUAGACUUGUG
rnacentral:rRNA from 1 species